GCCCUCAAAGAGUAAAAGAAGAAAUAAACAAACAAAACAAACAAACAAACAAAACUACAGAUGGUGGCCCCUGCAUGUCAAGGUCAGCACUCAGAGUCCCAAGCUCCUGAGCAUCACAGCCUGCCUCCAUUUCUAGGCACAUUCUCACACAUCCCAAUUAUAUGGCAGGUUCUUUGAACUUAUAUCUUAACUGUGGCUUACCACAGGGUCUUGUUCUUUGCCAGCAUAUUUCUGUGACACUUGCAAGCCUCUGCUAUCCUAGCUGGUAUUGUCCACAAUGAACAGAGCUUUUGACCAUGUGUGAGGGGUUUAGGUGCUGAGCUAAGAAUCAGGACCCCUAGACAUACUGGGGUUCACUUUUCCUGGAGACUGUAGGAGACUGCAUGCUUGGCUUCUUUUGAUCUGCCAACUUCUCUUUAAAUGAUGGCUAAUGGUGUAUUCUCUGUGAAGUUAUAGGGGGUCACUGGUAUAAGCCAAGUGAGUCAAUGGAUUUGAAAAUGCUGUGGUGAAAAUGUUCAGCUAAACAUGCUAGCUUGUUGUCAUUAUUGCACUCACUUCUCUGACAUCUGUGAAUAGUGAGAACCAUGAGGGCAGAGUGGGGGGCCAUUUGAAUCAACACAACAAAACUCUCCAAGUUGCCUCCUGCCUGAAUGGGACAUCCACUCACCCACAGUGGACAUAGAGAAAUCCAGCUAUGAUACCACAUGACCUCCAGCAUUCAUGUGUAAAAGACAAAGUGUUUUAUAGCCCUGUGCUCUGUCACAGUGCACACCCUCCUCUAGAGCAUCAGUUUUACUUGUUUCCAAAUCCAACAGGUCCUAUUAUCUGUUUUCCUCAAUCUGGUGUCUUUACAAAAAACAGAUGAGAGGAAGUGAUUGUUUCUGGAGCAGAGAAAAAUUGUGCUGAUGAAGAAGACACAUUGACUCAGAGAAAAGAGCAGUCUUUUGCCAUGAGGACCAGCCAUUAUGCAGAUGAGGACAUCAUGGCUUGGAGAGGUGUUGUGCCCCAUCAGGCCAGCAAGUGGAAGCAUUGGGACCUCAGAGAACCCCUUUUGUGCACAAUGCUGACUGAGCUUCUGCUGGUGUUUGCAUAGAGUCCAGCUUGAUAUGGCUGAAAGGAAUGCCAAGAAGCUCCUCUCCUGAGUGAUCUCUUCAAGUUGACAACUGAAUUGACAUUAGGCAUCACAGAGUCUACCUAAAACAAGAUAAAGAAAAAAUAUUUUUAGAUGGGAAAAAGCUUGGACAGGAGGAUAGGAGGCAGGGUGAUCACUUCAUCAUGGACAGCUAGGGACUUCUUUUCUAUGAUGACAGAGAUCAAACCUGCUUUGCAGCACCCAUCAGGGACACUGAGCAUCCUAAUGCAACAGUGACUCAAGCUACAUCAUUUCCCCUGGUCAGACCAUACCUUCAGUUUUUAGUUUGAGCAACGGGGAAGAGGCCUUUCCAGUAGAAGACAAUAAAUUGACUAUACAAGGAACCUGGAGCUGAUACAGGUCAAGACGUAGAACUCUCAGCUCCUUCUCCAGCACCAUG